CAAAGGCAUGGUCCUGACCUUAUUAUCAGCUCUAGCCCAACUUACACAUGCAAGUAUCCGCACCCCCGUGAGUAUGCCCUCGACCCCCCGCCCGGGGGUCAGGAGCGAGCAUCAGGCACACAUCAUUAUAGCCCAAGACGCCCAGCCAAGCCACACCCCCAAGGGAAUUCAGCAGUGAUAAAUAUUAAGCCAUAAGUGAAAGCUCGACUCAGUCAGGGCUAAUAGGGCCGGUAAAACUCGUGCCAGCUACCGCGGUUAUACGAGGAGGCCCCAGUAA
rnacentral:rRNA from 1 species